rnacentral:lncRNA from 1 species
CCGGCCCUUGGAGGGGCUGAGGUGGCGGAACCUUGGACCCUUUGCCUCAGGCGGAUGGUGCUGAGAGGCCGCGCUCCGCGGGGACCUUGGGGAAGCCCGGGUGCUCUCUUUUGCACACUUCUAGCUACUUGGAACUGGACAUCCAGAGCCAGCUCGGAAACCAGCUUCUCUUCAUCCUCACUGCCUCCCGCUCCGAGUGGGCUUUUUCUCUCAACUUCUACAGGGGUCUCCACAUCUGGGUGCUGGGAAGGGAGGUCGGCGGCUUAGGACUCUACCUUGGAGCGGCCGAGAGGAAGCAACUGAAGUGCUUGUUGUGGUAGCAGGAAGGAUCGAUUGAUGAUUGGAAAGAGGAAAUAAUGCCAUUUGCAGCAACAUGGAUGGACCUAGAGAUUAUCAUUCAGAUUAUCAUUCUGAACUCAGAUCAAGGAACACAGAAGGCAUGUAAGUGGUUCCUAUGGAGACACAAUGCUCCAUCUACCUUGUUGUCUCCAAGAUCAGUUGCUCAUGGUCUAUUGCAACUUGGCAGGAUAAAAUAAACACCAAGGGUGGCACUUAAGAAGAAAAGAAUUAUGAAAUUGAGAGCAAAUGUCCUACACACAAGGGACUUUAACCUCAGAGAGGGGUGACCUGCAGAGGAGCCCUGCCUGAGCCAUGCUGCGGAGGACCAAAUGCCCAUCUGUUCAUGAGCCUGAUCCACUGCCUCACCUCAAGAGUCAGAAGCAAAGCAAGUACUGGACACAGGGGCCAGUUUCAGGGGCUCUGCUGACAUGUCUAAAGGAAACUUCACGUGAUGUUUCCCCAGUGAGAAGUUUCUCGAAUUUUCAGCUUCUUAACUUGUCAAGGAGCUCCUGGAUUUUGGAAUUUGUAUUAUUAAAGCUUCCAGGUAUCUAAUCACUGCACAUGGAAGUUCCCAUAGCCACAGCAACGUGGGAUCCAAGCCUGCUAUACCUCAGCUCAUGGCAAAGCUGGAUCCUUAACCCACUGAACAAGUCCAGGGAUUAAACCCACAUCCUCAUGGAUCCUAAUCAGGUGGUGAUGGUGAUGAUGUCUAUGUUGAGGAUAAUAGUGGUGAUGUUGUUUCCAAUACCUUUGUCUGCAACUACAAUAUGAAAAAAAGCCCGUGCAUAUGAUCUACGUGGGAGGGGAGGAGAAGAGUUAAAUAAGCACCUUUUCUCCAUAGGCUGAGCAUGCCUCAGACCUUGGUGUUUUGGGGACACCGUGUCUUGGCCUGCCCUUUCAUCAUUCUGUAGACACUGCUGAUGCUGCUCCUUGAGGAGGCCAGGGUUUAUGCCUUUCACAGCAACAGGACCUUUCACUCUGGGGAAAGACAGCUGCCAUGUCGUGAGGACACUCAACCAAUCUACAGCAAGGUCCACAUGGUGAGUAACGCGGCUUCCUGCCAACAGCUGUGUGAUCGAGUAACUUGGAAGCAAACACUGAGAACUCUGGCUCUUAUUUAAAAGCCCGUGAGUAAUUACCAAGGCUUUAACUGGCAGGUCUGAUGGGAGAAAGCUGCCCUCUCUGGGCCAGACCUGUGUACAACUAGUGCAUUACAGCCUGUGAAGAGAGCUGCAGUCAGCCAUUCAGGUUUCCUGGCCAGUCAUAUUCUUCACAUAUUUGAUUUCUUGGUUUUGAUGGGCACCCGCAUUCUGAGGUCUCUUUAUCUGAGGUCAUCUCCAGGUACCUCUGCUGAGGCCUCUUUACUGGGGGGAGGAGGAGGAAGAAAUCUUGAAUUCACCGAGGACGGUGUUAGGAAGGCUUCUCUAAGGAAGUAAUAAGUGAACUCAGAUCUAAAUGAUACUAAGAGCUAACUAGAUGAAAUAGGAACUUGUGAAUAGGUAAAAGGGGUCUUAGCCUAAGGAGUAGCAUGUACUCACCCAGAAUUCUGGCCUCAUGACUGUGAGGCUUCAUAAUGUAAGUAGGGAGAAAAGCAAGAUGAACUAAAAUCAUCUCCAGAACGCUGACCUAGGCACUGACCCCAGUGUGCUUGCUUUUUGGAAGCAGGAGGUGCACAAUGCAUCCUGUUUCUUAGCAGGAAGAGUCUAAAGAGUGAGAAGAAAAGGCUGAAUUGUAUAUAUUCAGUUCUUUUCUCAAUCUUACCCUUAAGAGUGACAUACCUUUUCACUAGAGGGGGCAGAUAAGGGAAAACAGCUCCACCAAUGGACCACAUAGGGCCUUAGUGAGGUUGUAUUUUUCCACGUGUUGUUACAAUGAUCAGCAUCCUGAGGACAUUUUAUAGGUCAUAAAAUCAGCAAGUGUUAACUGUGAUAAUUUGGACACCAGUGAUUUGGGCUCUUGGCAGGGCAAAAAAACAUGAAGCUUUUGAUGAAUAAGAUUAUGGACAUGGUCCUUGAUCAGGAGCAGAUGGUUAAAUUUGUUGCUGUAAUCAGUUUGUCUUCAAUUCAAUGCCGAUUUAUUUGUGGUCAUUUCAUUGUUUUCUCCACUGAGACAUUAAAAGACUAGUAAUUAACUUGAAGGAAAAAAGAAAAGUGUGAAUUCCAUAAAAGUACCUUCAUUAAGUUCUUUAUAUUCUCUUCUUCAUCUGUCAUGAUAGUACAUUGAACUACGUAUUCCUUAUAUCUGUUUAACAAAUGUGUAUUCGAGAACUACUGUGUGUUGAGCUGUGUACUAAAUCUAGUGAACAGAAUGCUGGGAAAAACAGAAAAAACAUUAUUUCUGAAGUCAAAAAGCUUAUACUCUACUAAAGAAACAAAUAUCAAUAGAAUAAUUCCAAAAAAGUAAAUGUAAAAUUAUACUUGUAAUAGCUGCUAAGAACAGAUGCAUGGUACUGUGGUAGCCACUAAGAAGGGAUUUGACUUAGAUGGGGAGUAGAAAAGACUUCUCUCAAGAAAUAGUAUUUAAGCUGAAAUCUGAGAGGCAAGUAGUAAUACCUGAGGCCAGAAGAGUGGAGAUAGGAAGGAGAUUUUCCAGCCUGAGAAAAUAGCUUGUGUGACUGCCACCUGGCCGCAGGCAGUGUGGUUAAACAUAAGGGGUGGAUGAGGCCUCUUGUGUCUAUACCCAAUUCAGAAUGUGAGUGACUGUUCAUCUGACUUUUUCAAACAUCAUAUUUUCCUGGACAAAACAACAAAUGGAUGCUGGAGUUGGGAAUUUAUUUGCCUGAAGUAUUCAAUUAGGGUAAUGCUAGCUAUCGAAACAAGGAAAUUAAAAUUCCAGUGGCUUAACAUAAUAGAGUUUUCUUUCUAUUCCUGAACAAGUAUACUGGGAUGUACUGUUUGGUGGUGGCUUUGGGGUGUUUCAGGGACUCAGGCACCUUCCAUCUUGCAGCUCCACCAUCUACUAGGCUCCAACAGGUGGAGGGAGGCAGCAAAGAGUGUACAACUGCUUCUGUUAUAAAUGCAGGCUCAGAAGUAAUACACACAUUUAUUGGUGUGAAUUAGUCAUGGGAUUGGACUUUUAUGCAAAGGGCUUCUGGGGAAUGUACUCAUUGCCUGGGAAGAUGCCUCUGGGAAAUACCUACUGUAUUCUAGAAUAGGGAACAUAAUUUUCUGUGUGGACAGCUAACAUCUUUACCGCACAUUUUUUAUUACUCAAUGAAUUUCUUACAUUUGUAGUUGUACAAUGAUUGGCACAAUCCAAUUUUAUAGGAUUUCCAUCCCAUAACCCCAGCACAUCCCUCCACCCCCCAAACUGUCUCCUUUGGAGAUCAUAAGUUUUUCAAAGUCUGUGAGUCAGUAUCUGUUCUGCAAAGAAGUUCAUUCUGUCCUUUCUUCAGAUUCCACAUGUCAGUGAAAGCAUUUGAUGUUGGUUUCUCAUUGUGUGACCAACUUCACUUAGCAUGCUAAUUCUAGGUCCAUCCAUGUUGCUAAAAAUGCUGGUUCCUUUUAGUGGCUGAGUAAUAUUCCAUUGCAUAUAUGUACCACAUCUUCUUGAUCCACUCCUCUGUCGAUGGACAUUUAGGUUGUUUCCAUGUCUUGAAACAAGUGCUGCAAUGAACAUUGGAGAAAAGAAACAUGUUGAUUUUUAAUUUUGAAAUUACAAUGGCUUGUCUUCUUUGGGAACGUGGUCUUUGAUAAUUUCUCUCAAGCCUUGAGCAACUAAUUUUAUGGUUGGAUCCACAAUCAAAUGCAAGUGAGAAAAGAGGACUUCUUAAAUAAGCCUUUAUAAUUUCUUUUUCUACCUGCAGACCUCUUCAUUUAUGACAGAAAACUAACCCAAAUAUGAGUAUAUUAAAGGUUCAAUUUGAGGUAUUUUAUUUUUGUCAUUCUUAAAAUCUCAUUGGUUCAUCUGAACUUUUUUGUGAUAAAAUUUAUAAUGGAAAAUACUACAAACGUGUGUGUUUGGUCUGCCUAAAAGGAGCUGUAGGGAUUAGAUAAGGUGGGAGAAGUAUUAAAGCCGAAGAAAUUAUUACCCACUGUACCACCUUAGCACUGGAGUGAGUGGCAAAUGUGACUUUAGCCCCAGAAAUAUUAAAAGCAGGAAUUAUAUCUGACUCAUCCAUUCAAGGGUGGAAAACUAACCGGAAGUCUUACUUCAGCCUAAGAGUGAUAAAGCGCCAGUUGCUGAGAUCCUGACCUGAUGUACAUAAAUUAAAUAAUAAUGGCAAAAUAUUACGUCUGUGUAGUGCUUUGUGAUUUCCAAAGCACCAUCUGGGAUUGGUAUUUAUCACCGUUGCAAUACAGCAAUAAAAAUAGUCAGACAGUUAUAAAGUUACUCACUUAGGAGAAGUUAGGUAUGCAAAAUCUUUCGGUUAAGGUGCCCCAGGAGUUGAGUGUUCCUAGUAUUUAUAAACUUCCACUUAAGUUUGAAUUUAUGUCACUUCUUGUUCUCAUGUUGAUUGAGUACAUUUUAAGUACAACCCAAAUUUACUAAUACUCAUGAAUAACCUUUCAGACUGGGUGAGCUAGGCUAUUAUCUAAUUGGACUUUUUACCACCAGGUAUUGACGUAAUCUGGGAUCCUUAGUAAUCCUGGGUUCUAGGUUUUUUUCUGGGCACUUAUGAGUUUUAUGUCCUUGAUCAAAUUUCUUAGCUCGGAGUCUGUUUCUUUAUCUGUAAAAUAGAGAUAACAAUUCUUGUUCUUAUCAGUGUCAUGAAAUGCACCUGGGUAAUUUAUGAAGAUUGAGACCAGUUUUUAUAAAUCUUAUAUGUUCUACAAAUAGAAGUGAUUAUUUGGCUUUGUCUUCCUUAUUGGUUUUUAUAAUCCAACUCAAUCCAGAAAUAAAUGGAUCUAGACCACGGGGUUGAGCCUAACUGAAAUUGGUUCUUGGGAUAACAAAUUUGUUUUAUGAUUUCUUAAUCUUAAGUUGACCACCUAUCCUAGUUUGUCCAGGAUUUUCUGAAUUUUAACACUGAAAGUCCAGUGUCCUGGUAAACCCUUCAAUUCUGAGAAAACCAGGAUGGCUAGUGACCCUACCUUGACUUUCCAAUUCUAAGAAUCUUUCUCAGAAAUAGUUUUUAAUCAUAUCUUAUUAAUAUGAGAUCUUCCUUUGGAAAGAAUAUCCCUUCUAUAUGAGUCCAUUUAUUUUUCAGAAUAUGGAUUAUAUUAGACUUUCAUCCAAAAUCCAUGGCAAAAUAAUAAUGAAGUUUAAGUGUCUCCAUAAUGACAUAGGACUUUUCUGGCAUAUAGAAGUUCCCAGGAUAGGGGCGGAAUCAGAGCUGUAGUCGCCGGCCUGCACCACAGCCACAGCAAUGCCAGAUCUGAGCCAUGUCUGUGACCUACACCACAGCUCAUGGCGAUGCCAGAUCCUUAGCCCACUGAACAGGGACAGGGAUCAAACCCAAGUCCUCAUGGAUACUAGUUGAGUUUGUAACUGCUGAGCCCCCAUGGGAACUCCUCCUCCAGCACUUAUUGUAUUUAAUUGAACUACUUGAUCAUCCAUCUCCUUCAUUAGAUCUAAUAAGGAAUCCAGUCAUGUUCAUCUUUGAUUCUGACUGGCACAAUGGAAACACCUAGGAAAUAUACAAUUAACUGAAAUAUAGAGCUUAAACUUGUAUUGCUCAACCCUUAUAAAAGUCAGAGUUUUGAUGAUCCAUAAAAUGUGCAUAAUAAAAAUUUCAUUAAGCCUCAUAGAGUUUAGUGAGCCUUAAAUAAAAUAACAUGAAAAAUGUUAAUUACUUUUGUAAACUGUAAAGUAUAAUAAAAUUUAAGUUUGAGAAAGGAUUGCUAUUAAUGUUUAAUAGCUUUCACAUUUUAAUAUUCUUUCAGUCUGCCAUAACUCCUGGAAUCUUGAUUUGAUCUUUGAAUAUUAAAUUUUUACUUCUAUCCAAAAGUUUGUCAUUUAUCCUAUACAUAAAUGACCACAGGAUAAUGUGAAAUGGACAUGAAUAUAGGCAUUUACAAAUUAACAUCAUCAUAUAUAAAUAUAAUAAGAAAUGUGGAUGCAUUUAAGUUCAGUCUAGUUUAUUUCCUGAAAGACUUUGCUCGAGUCAUCUAUGUUAAUGUUGUGCAAUAGUUGGUAAGCCAAUGAAACAGCAAUAAAUUAUAUGUUUGUUGCCAAAUAAAUUAAGUCUUUAUUGCAACAUGAUUCAUGGUUGUCUCAAAUUUAUUGCUGAUUAGAAAGCCUUGCUCAGGAGUUCCAUUUGUGGCCCAGCGGUUUAUGAACCUGACUAGUAUUCAUGAGGAUGUAGGUUCAAUCCCCGGCCUUGCUCAGUGGGCUAAGGAUCCACAGUUGCCGUGAGCUGUGUUGUAGGUUACAGAUGUGGGUUGGAUCCUGCUUUUCUGUGGUGUAGCAACUGCAGCUUCAAUUUGAUCCCUAGCCUGAGAAUUUCCAUAUACUGCAGGUGUGGCCCUAAAAAGCACACACACACACACACA